GUGGGGAAUAUUGGGCAUUGGGCGCAAGCCGGACCCAGCAACGCCGCGUGAAGGAAGAGGGCUUUCGGGUUGUAAACUUCUUUUCUCAGGGACGAAGAAAGUGACGGUACCUGAGGAAUAAGCCACGGCUAACUACGUGCCAGCAGCCGCGGUAAUACGUAGGUGGCAAGCGUUAUCCGGAUUUAUUGGGUGUAAAGGGCGUGUAGGCGGGAGCGCAAGUCAGAUGUGAAAACUCAGGGCUCAACCCUGAGCCUGCAUUUGAAACUGUGUUUCUUGAGUGCUGGAGAGGCAAUCGGAACUCCGUGUGUAGCGGUGAAAUGCGUAGAUAUACGGAGGAACACCAGUGGCGAAGGCGGAUUGCUGGACAGUAACUGACGCUGAGGCGCGAAAGCGUGGGGAGCAAACAGG
rnacentral:rRNA from 1 species